UUAGUAACGGCGAGUGAAGCGGCAACAGCUCAAAUUUGAAAGCUGGCCCCCCCGGGGGUCCGCGUUGUAAUUUGUAGAGGAUGAUUCGGCGAGGGCUCCCGCCUAAGUCCCCUGGAACGGGGCGUCAUAGAGGGUGAGAAUCCCGUAUGCGGUGGGCUGCCUUAGCCAUGUGAAUCUCCUUCGACGAGUCGAGUUGUUUGGGAAUGCAGCUCUAAAUGGGAGGUAAAUUUCUUCUAAAGCUAAAUACCGGCCAGAGACCGAUAGCGCACAAGUAGAGUGAUCGAAAGAUGAAAAGCACUUUGGAAAGAGAGUUAAAAAGUACGUGAAAUUGUUGAAAGGGAAGCGCUUGCAGCCAGACUUGUCCGCAGUUGCUCAGCCGGUCUCCUGACCGGCGCACUCUUCUGCGGCCAGGCCAGCAUCAGUUCGGGCGGUCGGAUAAAGGCCCCGGGAACGUAGCUCCUCUCGGGGAGUGUUAUAGCCCGGGGUGGAAUGCGGCCAGCCUGGACUGAGGAUCUCGCUUCGGCUAGGAUGCUGGCGUAAUGGCUGUAAGCGGCCCGUCUUGAAACACGGACCAAGGAGUCUAACAUCUAUGCGAGUGUUUGGGUGUCAAACCCAUGCGCGUAAUGAAAGUGAACGGAGGUGGGAACCCUCGCGGGUGCACCAUCGACCGAUCCUGAUGUCUUCGGAUGGAUUUGAGUAAGAGCAUAGCUGUUGGGACCCGAAAGAUGGUGAACUAUGCCUGAAUAGGGUGAAGCCAGAGGAAACUCUGGUGGAGGCUCGCAGCGGUUCUGACGUGCAAAUCGAUCGUCAAAUUUGGGUAUAGGGGCGAAAGACUAAUCGAACCAUCGACUACUAGGUGGUUAAGAGGUGGCUGAAAGUGCCCACCUAGUCCCCCCGUCCUCGGACGGGGGGGCGACAUCGCCAAAUUGCGGGGACUCCCUUAGAGCCUCUACUACCGCGGCCGGCCGAAAGGCGCGGUGCAGCACCGGGUUAAUCGCCUAGGGUACGGUAAAAAGGUAGAGGAUUGGGAAAUCCGCAGCCAAGCGCCUAAGUCCCGCGGGAUACGGCGAAGGUUCAGAGACUAGAUGGCGGUGGGUCCGGCCCGAGGGCCGGGCCUAAGGUAU
rnacentral:rRNA from 1 species